rnacentral:rRNA from 1 species
CAGACGGGUGAGUAAUGUAUAGGAAUCUACCUAGUAGUACGGAAUAAUUGUUGGAAACGACAACUAAUACCGUAUACGCCCUACGGGGGAAAAAUUUAUUGCUAUUAGAUGAGCCUAUAUUAGAUUAGCUAGUUGGUGGAGUAAUAGCCUACCAAGGCAAUGAUCUAUAGCUGAUCUGAGAGGAUGAUCAGCCACACUGGAACUGAGAUACGGUCCAGACUCCUACGGGAGGCAGCAGUGGGGAAUAUUGGACAAUGGGCGAAAGCCUGAUCCAGCCAUGCCGCAUGAGUGAAGAAGGCCUUUGGGUUGUAAAGCUCUUUUAGUGAGGAAGAUAAUGACGGUACUCACAGAAGAAGUCCUGGCUAACUCCGUGCCAGCAGCCGCGGUAAUACGGAGAGGGCUAGCGUUAUUCGGAACUAUUGGGCGUAAAGGGCGCGUAGGCUGGUUAAUAAGUUAAAAGUGAAAUCCCGAGGCUUAACCUUGGAAUUGCUUUUAAAACUAUUAAUCUAGAGAUUGAAAGAGGAUAGAGGAAUUCCUGAUGUAGAGGUAAAAUUCGUAAAUAUUAGGAGGAACACCAGUGGCGAAGGCGUCUAUCUGGUUCAAAUCUGACGCUGAAGCGCGAAGGCGUGGGGAGCAAACAGGAUUAGAUACCCUGGUAGUCCACGCUGUAAACGAUGAAUGUUAAAUAUGGGAAGUUUACUUUCUGUAUUACAGCUAACGCGUUAAACAUUCCGCCUGGGGACUACGGUCGCAAGAUUAAAACUCAAAGGAAUUGACGGGGACCCGCACAAGCGGUGGAGCAUG